UACGAAGGGGGCUAGCGUUGCUCGGAAUCACUGGGCGUAAAGGGUGCGUAGGCGGGUCUUUAAGUCCGGGGUGAAAUCCUGGAGCUCAACUCCAGAACUGCCUUUGAUACUGAAGAUCUUGAGUCCGGGAGAGGUGAGUGGAACUGCGAGUGUAGAGGUGAAAUUCGUAGAUAUUCGCAAGAGCACCAGUGGCGAAGGCGGCUCACUGGCCCGGUACUGACGCUGAGGCACGAAAGCGUGGGGAGCAAACAGG
rnacentral:rRNA from 1 species